AUUUAAAUAGCUUAAUUAGAGCAUAAUAUUGAAGAUAUUAGGGUGAUCGUUAGAUCUUUAAAUA
rnacentral:tRNA from 1 species